ensembl:lncRNA
CCGGCUGCUAAUCAGCAUGGGGGGGAUGUUGGUAAUCAAGAACAAUCGCGGGCACUCAUCAUGUUUAUGUUGCCGCGCUGUUUACGCUAGGCGGGCUCCGUUUCUCCCUAUACGACAUCCUAUAGUGUCUCUGAUCAUCCCGUCUUGAGUGGGCCACCAUUUCACACUCUGAGGGUGGGAUCGCCAAAAAGAAAAUAAAGAAAAGAAAGAAAGGUUUCAACUCUUGGGCACAGCCUUUCCAGCUGUUCACCAUCCGGUAACGGGGGAGUCCUCUCCGGCCUGUUACCAAACCUUUACCUGAUCGAGGAGCAAGCCACCUGCCCACCACAGCUUCAGUGGGAAGGAGAACUUCCUUCAUUCUCCAUGGAUAUCAACAGAGUGCAAGUACUUUGCUUAUGGUGGCAAAGUAACCUUAUUAGUACAGACAUGAUAGAUCAUUAACUUCCAGUCUAUUCAGUCCAGAAGAAUGAAUGCUGUCAGCCUUGGUGCAACUGGGAACGUGGAAACGUAACACAGGUGUAAACUGUUGCAAUUUUUUUCCCGAAAUAUAUAAAACAAGGAAACACAGAAAGCAAAAGGGUUCUGAACACAUGUGCCAACAACAGUUUGUUGGCACAUGUGCUCAGUAUUGACUCAACCAUCCCCUUCACCUGGAUCUGUACCGAGUCCCAAAGGCACCCAUGUUCAGGCAACCGAGAUGUUGUCUAAGCCUCUGUGUCGGAUAUGCAACACAGCUGCUGUAACUGGCUUAAUGUAAAAGGUGGUGGAGGAGUGUUUAUGAGACGUUUUUGUGUAGAGCUCUGGGACCUUUCCGUGCUCACAAACAUAGAUAAUGCUUUCUUUACUUUCUAGUUUCCUGUAAUGAUGACGAUAACCCAAGCAAAGGAUCCCAGGAUGCUGCUAGCUAGAAAUAUGCAUGAUGGCAUCCAUUGUGAAUUGUAACAGAAAUAGUGCUGAAACUGAGUCCUCAAAUAAAUUUCGGCAAAACUUAACACACAUAUGAUAUGCGGAAACUGUGGUUCUAUUUAAUGAUACACGCAAUACAUUAUAAACAUUGUUUCUUAUCAGUAUUGUAUGCAUUAUCGUUGUCGACUUGUGUUCCUAAUAUGCAUGUGUCCCCCCGUUAAUAUACAUUGCCAUGGACUGUAUUAUGCUUUACGUGUUUAGUUUGCGUGCGUUUAAACAGAUAGACGCAC